UACGUAGGGUCCGAGCGUUGUCCGGAAUUAUUGGGCGUAAGGGCUCGAUAGGCGGUUUGUCACGUCGGGAGUGAAAACUCAGGGCUCAACCCUGAGCGUGCUUUCGAUACGGGCAGACUAGAGGUAUGCAGGGGAGAACGGAAUUCCUGGUGUAGCGGUGAAAUGCGCAGAUAUCAGGAAGAACACCCGUGGCGAAGGCGGCUCUCUGGGACGGUACUGACGCUGAGACGCGAAAGCGUGGGGAGCGAACAGGAU
rnacentral:rRNA from 1 species